UGACAUUAUCUAUCAGACAGGAAGUGCUCAUGAAAUUCUGAUGUCUUCCACAGUAACGAGACUCUCCUGUCCGCGGGACUCGUGAGCGCCCCCUGUAGUGUGGACCUGCAGCAGUACGCUUGCUCUUCGCUCACAGGCUUCACUGCUGCAAACCUGGCUGAACUCCUGAAGUGUCAACUAUCCAGCAGCAGCAGUUACUCCAAGGAGAUCUGGAAACUGCUUCUCAAUAAAGCAAAUGAUGUUCUGGAUCAAGCCCUCAUCAUCUUUUCCAGCGAAGCAGCAAAUAUGUCUCAGCCAAUCAGAGGUGAUGUUGUGUCCCAAGUGCUGGAUGUGAUUGGAGAGCUGAGACUGGAGACCAUCAGUUCUGACCAAUGGAGUGACAUCGAUUUCAUCAGCAUGUUGUUUGAUCAAAAUCUGAAGCCGUUUUUACCGUUUGCGUCAUCAUCCCUACUGCGGUGCACCAGCAGCAAAAACCUCAGCUGCCAAACCUACCAGCACAUGUAAGAAAAGCAUUUCCUCAACAAUAGCCCAGGACUAUCAUGAGCUGAUAAGAUGCUUGUUCAACAUUAUUUUCAACCAUUUCUCAGUCUGUCGAAGGUCAAACUUGUCAAUGAGACUCAAGGAAGAAACAUGGUGAACUUCUUCAUCCUGCCCUUCCUCAGAAGAAACACAACAGGUGAGCUGGAGGUUCACAGAUGUUUCAUAUGAAGGUUCUGGAGUUCAUGAAGGUGAUUUCACUGUGUGUGUUGUGUGUCAGAUGCGGGCUGUGUGUCGAAUGCUAACAACAGCGCUGAGUGGCUACAGAAGAACUUUGGCCCGUUCUCUCGGUUUGUGUCUCUCACAGAUCUGCUCUCCAUCAACAGACUCUUUGAUCCCGUAUGUCUUCACAUCUUCACAUGUGAUUUCAU
rnacentral:lncRNA from 1 species